GGGGCUUCACUUGUCCAAGAAGCGCUUUCCUUCCAAACCUCCGUCAGAGCCAUAGACGACACUAAACGACUGCAGGAAGACCAGCAACACGCGAAUCCUCUUAACACGCGCCUCCUUCCAUUCAAACUCUGAGCCAUAAACGUCCAGAUCUACGAGAAGAAGGACAGAGACGAAGCCACGCGCCACCAUCUCGUCGUUGGGUCUGACAAAUCAAAAGGGAAAACAGAUCGCCAGCCCGCAACAAACAAACCCUAAAACGCCGACCCUUCUCAGGAGUACCACUUCGAACGGCUCGCCGUCGUUCCAGCUUCCGACUUCCUCCGACCUAGCUCAGCUCCGCCGCGGUCAGAUCUGAGACAGGAGUCUCCGCCGUACACCAGAAGUCUGCGCAUCUCGCCGGGAAGAAAGAGACUCCACAAGAGGGCAAAGUAAAAACAGAGAUGAGGGAGGAAAGAGAGACCUCCGACUCCGGGAGUGGGCACCGGACGUCGGGGGCACCACCGAUUUAGGGUUUCUUUUUUUCUCUGGUUCGGGAGAGGCGAGAGAGAAAAGGAUUACCGAUUCACUGUAUAUUCUGCGAGUUAAUCGCGCUCCAAAAAAAAACUCUUUGUUUAGAGGCGGUUCCAUAGUUUUAUCUCUUUUUAUGUAUUUUUUUAUUUAUUUUUUUUUAGUUUUUUUGAGGAACCUCUUGUUAAAGCCUCCCGAUGGAGGUUGUGUCUUAUCCCUUUUCUGGCUUGUAAAAAUCUAUAAGCUCCUCGAGUGUUCACGUAAGCAAAAAAAUCAUCUAAUCAUCUAUAAAAUGUAUACAUAUUAUUUAUAAUGGUUUAUAAAUUAUUUAUAAGGAUUUAUAUAUAAUUUAUAAAGAUUUACUUAUAAUUUUUGUAAGAAUUUAUAAAUGAUCUAUAAACAAACUCCUCUAACUGAUUUAUAAUCACUUAUAAAUUGAUUUCUAAACUCUUACAAAUUGGGUUAUGAAGAUUAUUAAAUUCUG
rnacentral:lncRNA from 1 species